AGCUCAGUGGUAGAGCACGUACUUGGCAUGUGUGAGGCCCUGGGUUCAAGCCCAG
rnacentral:tRNA from 1 species